rnacentral:sRNA from 1 species
GCCUCGCAGUCCGAACAGUCUCCGUAUCGAGGCGUGCUCGCGAAUUGCGAGAUAGGCUGCGAGGCUGCC